rnacentral:rRNA from 1 species
GACGAACGCUGGCGGCGUGCUUAACACAUGCAAGUCGAACGGAAAGGCCCUGCGUGCGUGGGGUGCUCGAGGGGCGAACGGGUGAGUAACACGUGAGUAACCUGCCCUAGACUUUGGGAUAAGAUCAGGAAACUGGGGCUAAUACCGGAUAGGAGCCGAUGUUGCGGGGUGGGGGGUGGAAAGUUUCGGCGGGUGGGGAUGGACUCGCGGCUUAUCGGCUUGUUGGUGGGGUAGUGGAUUACCAAGGCUUUGACGGGUAGGCGGCCUGGGAGGGUGACCGGCGUCAUUGGGCCUGCGGUACGCACCAGACUCCUACGGUGGGCAGUGGUGGCGAGCCUUGCACAGUGGGCGCGCGCCUGAUGCAGCGGCGCCGCGUGCGUGAUGACGUCCUGCGGGUUGAAAACCGCUUUCGCCUAUGACGACGCGUGAGUGACGGUACUCAGUGAAGAAGCACCGGCUAACUACGUG